UACGUAGGGGGCAAGCGUUGUCCGGAUUUACUGGGCGUAAAGAGCGUGUAGGCGGCCAAGCAGGUCCGUUGUGAAAACUGGAGGCUUAACCUCCAGACGUCGACGGAAACCGCGUGGCUAGAGUCCGGAAGAGGAGAGUGGAAUUCCUGGUGUAGCGGUGAAAUGCGCAGAUAUCAGGAAGAACACCCGUGGCGAAAGCGGCUCUCUGGAACGGUACUGACGCUGAGACGCGAAAGCGUGGAGAGCGAACAGG
rnacentral:rRNA from 1 species